UAUUAUAAAGACCAGCCAACGCAGUUCUUGAACCAUUUCACCUGAUGAAAAGAACUUGAAAGCUUGUAUCACAUAUGCAUCACUUCUGCAACAUUAAAGUACAGUAGUCCUAAUACAGUAAAAGACAACAUUUGAGACCUAGGUUAAGAACGAUACUUUGCAAGUACGCAUUGAUUUACUCAUCACAAGCAAGACGUUUCAGGGCAGACAGCGACAUCUGUACACCCAUUAAGAGAGACAGUAACCAGAACCUUUUGUGGUGCAACCUUUUGUGGUAAGGGUGCAACUUGUUACAUACUGUCAAGCCACCUCUGACCUAUGGUGACCCUGUGAAUGAGAGAUCUCCAAAAUGCCCUGUCCUCAAGAACCCUCCUCAGCUCUUGUAA
rnacentral:lncRNA from 1 species